rnacentral:pre_miRNA from 1 species
GGAAAAGCGUGUCUAGAUUGGCCAUGGACGCUUUUCCAAAAAAAAAUGCUUUUGCGGAAAAGCGUCCAUGCCAAUCUAGAUGCGCUUUUCCGAA